UACGUAGGGGGCGAGCGUUGUCCGGAAUCAUUGGGCGUAAAGAGCGUGUAGGUGGCUUGGAAAGUCUUACGUGAAAUCCUGAGGCUCAACCUCAGGCCUGCGCGGGAUACUGCUUGGCUAGAGUCCGGAAGAGGAGAGUGGAAUUCCUGGUGUAGCGGUGGAAUGCGUAGAUACUGGGAGGAACACCAGUGGCGAAGGCGGCUACCUGGACCGGUUCUGACGCUGAGGCGCGAAAGCGUGGGUAGCAAACAGG
rnacentral:rRNA from 1 species